rnacentral:tRNA from 1 species
CUGGUUAACUCAGUUGGUAGAGCGCUCCACCUGUAAUGGAGAGGUCCCGGGUUCGAUACCCGGACCAG